rnacentral:rRNA from 1 species
AUUGAACGCUAGCGGCAUGCUUUACACAUGCAAGUCGAACGGCAGCGCGGACUUCGUGCUGGCGGCGAGUGGCGAACGGGUGAGUAAUGUAUCUGAACGUGCCCAGUAGCGGGGGAUAACUACUCGAAAGCGUAGCUAAUACCGCAUACGCCCUACUGGUGAAAGCAGGGGAUCGUAAGACCUUGCACUAUUUGAGCGGCCGAUAUCGGAUUAGCUAGUUGGUGAGGUAACGGCUCACUAAGGCGACGAUCCGUAGCUGGUUUGAGAGGGCGAGCAGCCACACUGGGACUGAGACACGGCCCAGACUCCUACGGGAGGCAGCAGUGGGGAAUUUUGGACAAUGGGGGCAAACCUGAUACAGCCAGCCCGCGUGUGAGAUGAAGGCCUUCGGGUUGUAAAGCACUUUUGGCAGGAAAGAAACGCCGCGGGCUAAUACCACGCGGAACUGACGGUACCUGCAGAAUAAGCACCGGCUAACUACGUG